CCGAGUUCUCGCCCUCACGGGUAGAUCUCCCACCCACUGCUAUCACUACCGUCGUUGCUUUGGUGGGCUGCUAGGUCAUGCCUGGCCGCCGGCGCUAGCUAGCGACCGCCCGCCAGAGGCCCCGCAGACCCUGAACGUCGGUGUUGUCUGAGCACUAUGCAACCGUCA
rnacentral:misc_RNA from 1 species